AGAAAAAAUAAAAAUAAAGUGAACUGAAACAUCUAAGUAACUUUAGAAAAAAAUCAAACGAGAUGCCGUUUGUAGUGGCGAACGACUGCGGUAUUUGGGAAUUCUUCAAACUAUUAUUCGAAACAACCAAAGAAGGUUAUAGUCCUGUAGAAAAAAAACAGUUGGGAGAAAAAAGUAAGGCAGGGUUUACUGUCAGAAUUUUGGGCUACCACGCUCAACCCUAAAAAUUUUUGAUGACCGAUAGAAAAAAAGUACCGUAAGGGAAAGGUGAAAAAAGCUCUUUAUAGGGGUGAAAAGAUUUGAAACUUGUUGUUAACAAUCUGUUGAAGUCUUUAGACGACAGCGUACCUUUUGCAUAAUGGGCCAGUGAGUUUAUUUAAAUGGCAAGUUUAAUCCGUUAGGAGUAGACGCAGUUAAAUCGAAUAUUAAUUAUAUGCCGAGUCAUUUGUAUAAGACCCGAAACUAAGUGAUCUAAUCAUGAGCAGGUUGAAUAUAUUGUAGUAAUACGUAUUGGAGGACCGAACCCGUGUAUGUGGAAAAAUACUGGGAUGACUUGUGAUUAGGGGUGAAAGGCCAAUCAAACUUAGAGAUAGCUGGUUUUCCGCGAAAUCUAUUUAAGUAGAGCGUUUUUUUUUGAACAACGGGGUAGAGCUCUCAAUAAACUAGGGGGUUAACUCUUACCAAAUUUACUGAAACUACGAAUACGUAUGCGGCGAAAAAAAGCAGACAGACAUUGGAUGCGAAGGUCUUCUGUCAAAAGGGAAACAGCCCAGAUCGCCCGUUAAGGUCUUCAAUAAAUAUUUAAGUGAAUAAAGCAGUGAUUAAACAAAAACAAUCAAUAGGUAGGCUUGGAAGCAGCCACCCUUUAAAGAAAGCGUAAUAGCU
rnacentral:rRNA from 1 species